rnacentral:rRNA from 1 species
GACGAACGCUGGCGGCGUGCUUAACACAUGCCAGUCGAACGGAAAGGCCCCUUUGGGGGUACUCGAGUGGCGAACGGGUGAGUAACACGUGAGUAACCUGCCCUUGACUUCGGGAUAACUUCAGGAAACUGGGGCUAAUACCGGAUAGGAAUCCUUGCUGCAUGGUGGGGGUUGGAAAGCUUCGGCGGUUUUGGAUGGACUCGCGGCUUAUCAGCUUGUUGGUGGGGUAGUGGCUUACCAAGGCUUUGACGGGUAGCCGGCCUGAGAGGGCGACCGGCCACAUUGGGACUGAGAGACGGCCCAGACUCCUACGGGAGGCAGCAGUGGGGAAUAUUGCACAAUGGGCGGAAGCCUGAUGCAGCAACGCCGCGUGCGGGAUGACGGCCUUCGGGUUGUAAACCGCUUUCAGCAGGGGCGAAGCUUGUGGUGACGGUACCUGCAGAAGAAGCACCGGCUAACUACGUG